CUUAGAAGCAGCCACUCAUUUAAAGAGUGCGUAAUAGCUCACUAGUCGAGAGAUCCUGCGCCGAAAAUGUCCGGGGCUCAAACUUACCACCGAAGCUACGGGCUCAAGUUUACUUGAGCGGUAGAGGAGCGUCGUAAUCGGGCUGAAGUCGUACCGUAAGGAGCGGUGGACUGAUUACGAGUGAGAAUGUUGGCAUUAGUAGCGAGAUGUAAGUGAGAAUCUUACAGGCCGAAAAUCUAAGGUUUCCUGGGGAAGGCUCGUCCGCCCAGGGUUAGUCGGGACCUAAGCCGAGGCCGAAAGGCGUAGGUGAUGGACAAUUGGUUGAUAUUCCAAUACCACUAUUAUCGUUAUUAUCGAUGGUGUGACGGAGAAGGAUAGGAUGUGCUAGCGAUUGGAAAUGCUAGUCUAAGCAUUUAGGGAGUUAAGAUAGGCAAAUCCGUCUUAACAAUCCUGAGGUGUGAUGGGGAAGGCCAUUAAGGCUGAAGUAUCUGAUUCCCUGCUUCCAAGAAAAGCAUCUAGAGAGAGAAGUAGUGCCCGUACCGCAAACCGACACAGGUAGAUGAGGAGAGAAUCCUAAGGCCAUCGGAAGAAUUGCAGUUAAGGAACUAGGCAAAUUGACCCCGUAAGUUAGCGAGAAGGGGUGCCUGCGAGAGCAGGCCGCAGAGAAUAGGCCCAAGCAACUGUUUAGCAAAAACACAGGUCUCUGCUAAAGCGUAAGCUGAUGUAUAGGGGCUGACGCCUGCCCGGUGCUGGAAGGUUAAGGGGAACACUUAGCGCAAGCGAAGGUGUGAACUUAAGCCCCAGUAAACGGCGGCCGUAACUAUAACGGUCCUAAGGUAGCGAAAUUCCUUGUCAGGUAAGUUCUGACCCGCACGAAUGGCGUAAUGACUUGGGCACUGUCUCAACUGCAAAUCCGGCGAAGUUGUAGUGCGAGUGAAGAUGCUCGCUACCCGCGAUUGGACGGAAAGACCCCGUAGAGCUUUACUGUAGCUUAGCAUUGAGUUUCGAUAUUGUCUGUACAGGAUAGGUGGGAGACUGAGAAGCUAGGGCGUCAGCCUUAGUGGAGUCAACCUUGGGAUACCACCCUGAUAGUAUUGGGAUUCUAACUGGACGCCAUGAAUCUGGUGACAGGACAUUGUUAGGUGGGCAGUUUGACUGGGGCGGUCGCCUCCUAAAAUGUAACGGAGGCGCCCAAAGGUUCCCUCAGAACGGUCGGAAAUCGUUCGUAGAGUGCAAAGGCAGAAGGGAGCCUGACUGCGACACCCACAAGUGGAGCAGGGACGAAAGUCGGGCUUAGUGAUCCGGUGGUACCUCGUGGGAGGGCCAUCGCUCAACGGAUAAAAGCUACCUCGGGGAUAACAGGCUGAUCUCCCCCAAGAGUCCACAUCGACGGGGAGGUUUGGCACCUCGAUGUCGGCUCAUCGCAUCCUGGGGCUGUAUUCGGUCCCAAGGGUUUGGCUGUUCGCCAAUUAAAGCGGCACGCGAGCUGGGUUCAGAACGUCGUGAGACAGUUCGGUCCCUAUCCGUCGCGGGCGUAGGAAAUUUGAGAGGAGCUGUCCUUAGUACGAGAGGACCGGGAUGGACUGACCUCUGGUGCACCAGUUGUUCCGCCAGGAGCAUGGCUGGGUAGCUAAGUCGGGAAGGGAUAAACGCUGAAAGCAUCUAAGCGUGAAGCCCCCCUCAAGAUGAGAUUUCCCAUUCGAAAGAAGUAAGAUCCCUUGA
rnacentral:rRNA from 1 species